rnacentral:lncRNA from 1 species
CCCCUCCCCGACAGCCCAUGCCUCCUCCGAGCUACCACCACCCCUCUAACCCUUCUGGUGGUCUGCGACUCCUCCGUCCUCUUCUUUCGCCUAUGGUGUCCGUGCCUCCUUUACCUCUCACCCAUCCACCUAUAGUCCAAGCCAACCCGCGACCCACCUCGGCCCAUGGCUUCACCACGCCGUAGUUGCCACACAUCUUGCCCUUGGCGGCCCAUGGCUUCUCGAGCC